AGGAUCAUUACCAUGUCAUUCAGUCGCGCUGCCGCGUGAACUGUAUAAACCCAAUCCCGGGUACCUUUCCUGUUGCUUCCCGCUGGGCCUCUGGGAUUUGAAAGUGGAUGUCGCCGGGACAAACCCAGCUCUAAGCUGUACGUCACGUUCCUGGCGGCUUUCCGAGGAGGCCGCUCACCAGGCGCCCACCUAGCCCGGCAGUGCUCCAGCGGAAUGUCAAAUAAACAUCCGUGUCUACAAACUGAAAUCUGUCUGAAGAAAAGAACAAUAUGAAACGUUAAAACUUUCAGCAACGGAUCUCUUGGUUCUCGCAUCGAUGAAGAACGCAGCGAAAUGCGAUAAGUAGUGUGAAUUGCAGAAUUCCGUGAAUCAUCGAAUCUUUGAACGCACAUUGCGCCUUCUGGUAUUCCGGAGGGCAUGCCUGUUCGAGAGUCAUUAACAACUGUUUCGAUCCCUCUCACAAAAUUAACAGGUGAAAGGGCUUGGUCAUGGCGGAGGAGGAUGAGAUCGUUCAACAUGUAAGGUGUUGCGUUCCCGCCUCCCCACCAAAAUUGUACAGGCGGUCUUGUCGGCCCACGCAUCGAGGUGUUGUAAAAGCUGCCCCGGCACCUUUCACCCGUGCAAGAGGAAGAUUGGCCAGCCGGUUUAAAACCCCCCCCAAACAAUCAAAGGUGACCUCGGAUCAGGUAGGGAUACCCGCUGAACUUAAGCAUAUCAAUAAGCGGAGGAAAAGAAACCAAUCGGGAUUGCCUCAGUAACUGCGAGUGAAGUGGCAAAAGCUCAAAUUUGAAAUCCGGUACCUGCGGUGCCUGAGUUGUAAUUUGGAGAGGCAAAUUUUGUUGAUGGCGCCGGUCUAGGUUCCUUGGAACAGGACAACACAGAGGGUGAGAAUCCCGUGCCUGGCUGGACUGCUGUCGCUCCGAUAAAUUGUCUUCGACGAGUCGAGUUGUUUGGGAAUGCAGCUCAAAAUGGGUGGUAAAUGUCAUCUAAAGCUAAAUAUUGGCGAGAGACCGAUAGCGCACAAGUAGAGUGAUCGAAAGAUGAAAAGCACUUUGAAAAGAGAGUCAAAAAGUACGUGAAAUUGCUGAAAGGGAAGCGCUUGAGACCAGACUCGAGCCGUGGUGAUCAGCCGUGCUUCUGGACGGUGUCACUCGCCACGGUUUGGGCCAGCAUCGGUUCUGGCGGCCGGAUAAAAGGUGGGGGAAUGUAGCUUCCUUCGGGGAGUGUUAUAGCCCUCAUCACAAUGCGGCCAGCUGGGACUGAGGACCGCGCUCAU
rnacentral:rRNA from 1 species